rnacentral:tRNA from 16 species
GCACCCGUAGCUCAGCUGGAUAGAGCGCUGCCCUCCGAAGGCAGAGGCCAAAGGUUCGAAUCCUUUCGGGUGCGCCA